CAGUCGCCGCGGGAAUACAGAGGAUGCAAGCGUUAUCCGGAAUGAUUGGGCGUAAAGCGUCUGUAGGCGGCGGCCAAAGUCAGGCGUGAAAUUCCUGGGCUCAACCUGGGGGCUGCGUUUGAUACUUGGUUGCUUGAGUGGGGAAGAGGGUCGUGGAAUUCCCAGUGUAGAGGUGAAAUUCGUAGAUAUUGGGAAGAACACCGGUGGCGAAGGCGGCGACCUGGUCCUUUACUGACGCUGAGGCGCGAAAGCGUGGGGAGCAAACAGGAUUAGAUACCCGAGUAGUCCCUGUCUCUUAUAC
rnacentral:rRNA from 1 species